rnacentral:ribozyme from 1 species
GGGGGCAUAGUCCCCCGCCUUAAUGCGGCUUCCGGCAGCGGAAACGGUUGCAAGCCCGUGCGAACGCAGAGCAGGGA